CCCUUAGAUGUCCUGGGCCGCACGCGCGCUACACUGAUGCAUUCAACGAGUAUUUCCUUGGCCGAGAGGCCUGGGCAAUCUUUUAAACCUGCAUCGUGAUAGGGAUAGAUUAUUGCAAUUAUUAAUCUUGAACGAGGAAUUCCUAGUAAACGCAAAUCAUCAAUUUGCAUUGAUUACGUCCCUGCCCUUUGUACACACCGCCCGUCGCACCUACCGAUUGAAUGGUCCGGUGAGAUCUCGGGAUUGUGGCCAGUUCACUUUAUUGGGAGUUGGCUGCGAGAACUUGCUUAAACCUUAUCAUUUAGAGGAAGGUGAAGUCGUAACA
rnacentral:rRNA from 1 species